rnacentral:rRNA from 1 species
UACGUAGGGGGCUAGCGUUGUCCGGAAUCAUUGGGCGUAAAGAGCGUGUAGGCGGUCCGGUAAGUCCGCUGUGAAAGUCGGGGGCUCAACCCUCGAAUGCCGGUGGAUACUGUCGGGCUAGAGUCCGGAAGAGGAGAAUGGAAUUCCUGGUGUAGCGGUGGAAUGCGCAGAUAUCAGGAGGAACACCAAUAGCGAAGGCAGCUCGCUGGGACGGUACUGACGCUAAGGCGCGAAAGCGUGGGGAGCGAACAGG